rnacentral:rRNA from 1 species
AUUGAACGCUGGCGGAAUGCUUUACACAUGCAAGUCGAACAGCAGCACGGACUUCGGUCUGGUGGCGAGUGGCGAACGGGUGAGUAAUGUAUCGGAACGUGCCCAGUCGUGGGGGAUAACGUAGUGUAAAUUACGCUAAUACCGCAUACGAUCUAUGGAUGAAAGCGGGGGAUCGCAAGACCUCGCGCGAUUGGAGCGGCCGAUAUCAGAUUAGGUAGUUGGUGGGGUAAAGGCCCACCAAGCCAACGAUCUGUAGCUGGUCUGAGAGGACGACCAGCCACACUGGAACUGAGACACGGUCCAGACUCCUACGGGAGGCAGCAGUGGGGAAUUUUGGACAAUGGGCGAAAGCCUGAUCCAGCCAUUCCGCGUGCAGGAUGAAGGCCCUCGGGUUGUAAACUGCUUUUGUACAGAACGAAAAGGUUUCUACUAAUACUAGGAGCUCAUGACGGUACUGUAAGAAUAAGCACCGGCUAACUACGUGCCAGCCGCCGCAGUAA